GACGAACGCUGGCGGCGUGCUUAACACAUGCAAGUCGCACGAAGUGGAGAACGGGUGAGUAAUACGUGAGUAACCUGCCAUCCUUUUUGGGAUAAGCCUUGGAAAAGGGGUGUAAAACCGAAUAAAGGGGGAUGGGCUCGAGGACGAUCAGCUUGUGGGUUGGGUGAUGGCCUAACAAGGCGGUGACGGUUAGCCGGCCUGAUAGGGUGACCGGUCACAUUGGGACGGAGAUACGGCCCAGACCCCUACGGGAGGCAGCAGUGGGGGAUAUUGCACCAGGGGCGAAAGUCGUAUGCAGCGACGCCGCGUGGGGGAUGACGGCCUUCGGGUUGUAAACCGCUUUCAGCCAUGACGCGGUAGUGGCAGAAGAAGCACCGUCUAACUACGUGCCAGCAGCCGCGGUAAUUC
rnacentral:rRNA from 1 species